rnacentral:lncRNA from 1 species
CGUGGUAUGGAUUUAAAAAACAACAACUUCAGAUUGGUUUGUAUUACUUUGUUUUUGGUGUACUUCCACACAGUAGGUUUCAUUAUAUUUCAUGUUCAGGUUCGAAGCCAGAAAGCUUCAUGCAAGCCCUGCAUUGCGCCAUUGCUGCCUUGAGCCUUCAGUUGUUCACCUACUCUUUCAAAAAUGAAGCAACCAAGUCACAGAGGUCAGACCAGUAUCCUCAGAUGUUAGUGGAGGACUUUCUCAAUGCUCAAAUACCUGCUGAAACCCAGUUCACAGAGCAACACUUGGCCGACAGACUCCAGCGAUAUAAGUAUUUUAAAGUGGAGCAACUCAUCCGGGAUCUUAAGCAAUUUCCGGCACAGGAGACAGAAAGGGGUAACCUAUUUUGUUCGUAUUAGGUCCAUAAUAUGCAUGUACUAUAUGCACAGUAAGAAUGUAUGGUUGUCUAUUGAGCUGUGUAGGAAAUUGUAGUCCAAAAUCAUAUGAACUGUAGGAAUGUCUUGGAUAUUCCAUGACCAGUGUAUUUUAUGUAUUUGGCAGGGCCUACACCAAAAUGUUUAGGAACGCCUGUAAAAGUAAGUUGCUGACAGUUUAUUUUGCUGACAGAUGUUUUCUUGCUGUGUAGUACCGCAUGAAGGCAAUGUACUGUUCAUACUUCAUUUCUCAAUUCAUAUUUUCCUGUGGGAUUAUUCAGUUGACGAUUGCUUUACACUUUUAACUGUAGGCCCAAUGUGUGGAACAGGAAGUAGACUGUCUGAACGAAGUUUUCCUGAAACUUAGUAUUGAACUCCAGAAAAGGACUCAGAAGAAGAUGUGUCUAGAGCCAACGCUGCAAAGCUCUGACACGCCCUUAAAGAGUGCAGAUACAGAGGCCGCCCUGAGUCGUGAGGACACAGUGGUUUUAGAGCUGAAGAGACGAUGCGUAUCCCAGAGGCUUGAUGAACUGCAAAUCAUUUUAGCCGGAAUGGGCUGGCGCCAGCUAGACAGCCACAGGGCAGAGCCCAAGAAUUUGAGCAGUUCACACCCAGGGCCAGACAGUCAUAGAUCAUUCCAUAAGGAACACAUUCAUGCUCCAGACCCUGGGGGUGACCUAGACAGUGAGGGACCGAAGCAUCAAGCACUAGAAGACACCCAGAGCUGGUACAGUCGGGAUGUAGAUAACCAGGGGCCAAGUAGUCAGAUAGAUGGGUGA